GACUGACUGGAUCGCUCUGCAGAGAGUCGGCAUGGACUCGAGGUACCAAAUGGACCUUUUUGAAGAUCUGCUAAAGAUGCUUUCACCCUCAUUUGAAACCUGUCAAAGGCCAACUAUGCUUCAUUCGCAUCCAGUAGAUCAUCUUUCUUGCAAAUCUCAUCAAUGAACCCGAAUAGAAAGAUCCAAACCUUCAUCAGUAUCCAACAGACGGGCAUCCAGCUCACUAAAUACUUUGCUUCUGAUUUUACUUUUGUUGGUUACUGACAAUAUUGGCAACAUGAAAGAUUGUUAUAGUCUGGGAAAGGUAAAGUUCUAAAGACCUAUGGAACAAUGGAAUUUACAUAUUAAAGAGACAAACAUAUAUGAAGGAGAAUGAAGGAGAAGAGAAGGCAAUGUUGGGGGGCCAUGUAAGAUCGAGCAGGAGUGUGUGAAACAGCCUUCAGGAAGCCUCCACCCAUUUGUGCAUAAGUCAACUGUGUCCUGUAACUAAAAACAAAAAAACUGCGGAGAUUGUUUUGUCCUGUAACUAAAGUUGGAGACAAGCUUUUCCAAUUCCUCUGUCAAGUGUGUACAGUGGUAACUUGCUGACUUGUUUUUUAAAUUUAAAAUCUAUUGG